rnacentral:misc_RNA from 1 species
GAUGAAGAACGUAGCGAAAUGCGACAAGUAAUGUGAAUUGCAGAAUUCAGUGAAUCAUCGAAUCUUUGAACGCACAUUGCGCCCGCCAGUAUUCUGGCGGGCAUGCCUGUUCGAGCGUCAUUUCAACCAUCAAGCCCCCGGCUUGUGUUGGGGACCUGCGGCUGCCGCAGGCCCUGAAAACCAGUGGCGGGCUCGCUAGUCACUCCGAGCGUAGUAAUACAUCUCGCUCAGGGCGUGCUGCGGGUUCCGGCCGUUAAAAGCCUUAUUUACCCAAGGUUGACCUCGGAUCAGGUAGGAAGACCCGCUGAACUUAAGCAUAUCAAUAAGCGGAGGA